AUAUAAAAGAAUAAUCUCUUACAUAGAGUGAGCCUCUCAGCUUUAAGAAAGGCAGAUAAACUAGGAUGUGGUGUCAGGGGUUGCUGAGAAAAUGAAACUUACACAUCUAUGAUUAUCUCUGAAGUAUACAACCUGUUGAUCUCUGUUCUGCAGAGACAUUAAUUAUCAGGAACCGUCACAACAAAUCCUAGAGGCACAUAGAUACUUCUAGAAUAGCAGGGUUUCUGUGAAUACGGUGAGACUGUGAACAGAACUAAUGGAUGUUGACAACUCGACCUGAUUUUGCUCUUUCCUCAUGUCAAGUCAUUUCAGAAGGCUCCAUUUUGCAUAUUCAUUGGAAAUAUAAGGUGGCACAUGGGAACAGAUACGAGGGCUGUGCUCAGUCCCAGUCCCUUACACUGUCUCUGCAGCUCCUCCCUGUUACUCUCUGCACCUGCUCCACGUGGGAUCCCAGUGGAACAUUAUUCCCAAACCAGUAACACAUGGGCUUCCCAAGGCUUCAGCUCUUCAAGCACUGCUCCAAUAUGGGUCAGCAUCACGGGGCCCACCCUUCAGGCACUGCUCCAACACAGCCCCACAGACGACAGUUUGCCCAGCCCUCCUGCCCCACUGUGGACCCCCACCCACGGCUGCAGCUCCGUCCUGGAGCUGCUACUGCAGGCACAAUAUGGCUGCCGCCUCCUGCAGGCCGCGCCCACUGCCGCGUUGCGGGCUGCUCCAUGACUGCAGUGGAGAUCUGCUUCAACAUGUAGUUUAUAAAGCAAUCCGGAGAAGUCAGUCAUCAAGGCUAGAAGAGUCAGCAAGUGUUUUGCGUGAGCACGGCUCAGAUCUGAUCAUUCUUGCUCAGGAAUGAUGCAGCAGCUGAAAAGAUGAGAUUAUUUGCAAUUUGGGAUACCUACUGCUGUGUUCAAACUGACACAGAGAAUUUUUUUGUCUGCCAUUGACAAUUGUGCCACCAUGUCACUGCAGAUCAACCAUGCUGGGACUUACUUUCAUGCCUGUGAGAUAAAUUUUGUCUCUUAUGUGAGAAAACAGUAGAAAAGAGGAUUCAUGUGGCAGAAUAUCUGACCUACAUGGCAAGCAGGCGAACUAAACUCCAGUCAAGUCUUUACUGAGGCUGAAUGCCAAGACCUACAUUAGCUCUGCUCACACUUGUAGAUAUUCUGGUGGCUGGAAUUGUGAGACCAUGUCUUAGUGCGCAGAUAAUUCCCAAAGUUACUACUAGCUAAUGUACUUACAAAAAAAACAAAAUUGAGUUUUCCUGGAUUUCUCACUAUCUUGUACUCAAGGUAGCCCUUUGGCAUUCAGAGGAGAAAUAACCUUUCACAGUUAAACUAGUUUAGAGGUUGCAUCAUGAACAUCUAUAAAAGAAUUCUCUAUUCUGCUAUUUAAAUAAACAAUUUUGUA
ensembl:lncRNA